UACGGAGGAUGCAAGCGUUAUCCGGAAUGAUUGGGCGUAAAGCGUCCGCAGGUGGCAAUGUAAGUCUGCUGUUAAAGAGUCUAGCUCAACUAGAUAAAAGCAGUGGAAACUACAUAGCUAGAGUACGUUCGGGGCAGAGGGAAUUCCUGGUGUAGCGGUGAAAUGCGUAGAGAUCAGGAAGAACACCAGUGGCGAAGGCGCUCUGCUAGGCCGUAACUGACGCUGAGGAGCGAAAGCGUGGGGAGCGAACAGG
rnacentral:rRNA from 1 species